UGUGCUGUACAGAAAGGUGGCUGCCAAAC
rnacentral:piRNA from 1 species